GACGAACGCUUGCGGCGUGCUUAACACAUGCAAGUCGAACGGUAAGGCCCCAGCUUGCUGGGGUACACGAGUGGCGAACGGGUGAGUAACACGUGGGUGACCUGCCCCGCACUUCGGGAUAAGCCUGGGAAACUGGGUCUAAUACCGGAUAGGACCGCACCGUGAGGGUGUGGUGGAAAGUUUUUCGGUGUGGGAUGGGCCCGCGGCCUAUCAGCUUGUUGGUGGGGUAAUGGCCUACCAAGGCGGCGACGGGUAGCCGGCCUGAGAGGGUGGACGGCCACAUUGGGACUGAGACACGGCCCAGACUCCUACGGGAGGCAGCAGUGGGGAAUAUUGCACAAUGGGCGGAAGCCUGAUGCAGCGACGCCGCGUGGGGGAUGACGGCCUUCGGGUUGUAAACUCCUUUCACCAUCGACGAAGGUUUUCUGACGGUAGAUGGAGAAGAAGCACCGGCUAACUACGUG
rnacentral:rRNA from 1 species